CUCAGAAUUCAGGCCUGUCCUCGGAAUGUUACAAGGUACAGCCCAUUUAAGCUCCUGUAUAGACACUCCUUUUUAUUAGGCCCCAGUCUCAUUCGACACCAGACCAACUUAGACUGUGCCCCAAAAAAACUUGUCAUCCCUACUAUCUUUUGUCUAGUCAUACUCCUAUUCACUGUUCUCAACUACUCAUACAUGCCCUGCUCUUGUUUACACUGCCAGUUUACACUGUUUCUCCAAGCCAUCACAGCUGAUAUCUCCUGGUGUUAUCCCCAAACUGCCACUCUUAACUCUUGAAGUAAAUAAAUAAUCUUUGCUGGCAGGACUAUGCUGAAUCUCCUUAGGCACUCUCUAAUCAGGUAUCCUGAGUCGUCCCAAUUCUUAGACCUUUUAUACCUGUUUUUCUCCUUCUGUUAUUCCAUUUAGUUUUUCAAUUCAUCCAAAACUGUAUCCAGGCCAUCACCAAUCAUUCUAUACGACAAAUGUUUCUUCUAACAUCCCCACAAUAUCACCCCCACUGAGCACCUUGCGACCCCCACUCCUGCCCGCCAGAGAACAAACCCCCUUUGACUGUAAUUUUCGUUUACCUACCCAAAUCCUAUAAAAUGGCCCCACCUUUAUCUCCCUUCGCUGACUCUCUUUUCGGACUCAGCCCGCCAGCACCCAGAUGAAAUAAACAGCCAUGUUGCUCACACAAUGCCUGUUUGGUGGUCUCUUCACAGGGACGCGCAUGA
rnacentral:lncRNA from 1 species